rnacentral:rRNA from 1 species
AUUGAACGCUGGCGGUAUGCCUAACACAUGCAAGUCGAACGGCAGCGCGGGAGGAACCCUGUCUGCCAGUUGGGGACGGGCGAGCAAGGGAUAGAUACAUGCCAAUCUGCGGGUUCGAAGGGGGUGAAGUAGAGGCUAUUACGGUAUUCGACCAUCGGGCGUACGUGUGGAAGCAUCGGAUCUUACGCGAUCGCACGAUUCGAUGCCCGGUUAGCUAGUUGGCGGGGUAAAGGCCCACCAAGGCGACGAUCCGUAGCUGGUCUGAGAGGAUGAGCAGCCACACUGGAACUGAGACACGGUCCAGACUCCUACGGGAGGCAGCAGUGGGGAAUAUUGGACAAUGGGCGCAAGCCUGAUCCAGCCAUACCGCGUGGGUGAAGAAGGCCUUCGGGUUGUAAAGCCCUUUUGUUGGGAAAGAAAAGCAGCAGGUUAAUACCCCGCUGUUCUGACGGUACCCAAAGAAUAAGCACCGGCUAACUUCGUG